UACGAAGGGGGCUAGCGUUGCUCGGAAUCACUGGGCGUAAAGGGUGCGUAGGCGGGUCUUUAAGUCAGGGGUGAAAUCCUGGAGCUCAACUCCAGAACUGCCUUUGAUACUGGCAAUCUCGAGUCCGGGAGAGGUGAGUGGAACUGCGAGUGUAGAAGGUGAAAUUCGUAGAUAUUCGGCAAGAACACCAGUGGCGAAGGCGGCUCACUGGCCCCGGUACUGACGCUGAGGUGCGAAAG
rnacentral:rRNA from 1 species